AUUACAAUAUAACUUAUUGUAUAUUUCAAUGCUGAAAUGUCUCAGUAUGAGAAUGAGAGGUUACGCCAGCAACGUAUUCGUCAGUUUGCCCGUUCAUUUCGCUUGUUGUCAUAGGCGUGGGAGGACAAUCAACGGACAUUGGAUCCGAUAGGCCAAUGUGUGGUUGGCGAGGUAGGGACAGCAACGGGCCAUUGCCGGUCCGUCAGCUGGGACCACACAAGGUGAAACAUUAGGUGGAUCUAGGGCAACACUUGGGACUUCAAAUUUCAGGGUAGGGGCCAACGACGACAAGGACGCAGCCAAUGGCCGUAUUGAGAUAACGGUUCACCCGGAUGGUAGUCUGCAUCGAGACACUUCCGGCCUAUAUUCAGGUCUGAAUCUACCUUAGGGGGUACCACUUAGAAGCGUGUCAUUUUGAUAACAAAACAAUGGUAUGAAGUCGAGAUGAAGAAACACAUUAAAUGGAAGUCGAGAAACGAAGGUAAAGUCCGUUGCAUCUAUAACAAGAAGGCCUGCGAACUUUACAAAAAAUGGGAACAUGAGGUCCGCAAUAGCAACGACGAGAAGUUUACCUCCGCUGUUCCCGCAAAUGUCUUAAAGCGUUCGAGGGAGUAUUAGGAAUCCAAAGACGCCAUAAAGAAGUAAAAAAUAGCGAAAGCAAAUCGAUGGGGUGGAAAUCCUAAUGCUGACAUGAAGUCCACAC